GGUGGGAGGGGGGCUGAGGGGAGGACCUGAAGGGGGGCGGCAGGGCAAAAGGGAUCCCCGGAGCCCUGCCGCCAUCAGGAAUCAAGCAUCUGGCAUCAGGGAUCUCCGGACCCAGCAGAAGAAUCAGCCACAGGGGAGGUGUUCCCCCUCCCCAUCCCGGGAACCAGCGAGAGCUCCACCUGCCCCACAUCAGAGACACCCCCCCCCCCUUCACUGAAGCUGCUGGCAACCAUAUCUCAGGCCCUGAACCCCUCAGUCUCCUCCCCAUCCCCUUCCUCAGGCCCUUUCCCCUACCUCCACCUCUUAUUGCUGGCCCCAGUUCUCAGCUCUCCUGAGCCCCAGAACCCCUGAUAGCACCCCCAACCCUUCAGGUCUUGACCACAUUGACCCCCAUCCUGGGAUCUUCGCCAGACCUCUGGGAGAGAGAUCAUUUGUUUGGGCUAUGCCCCCUUGUGGCUCAGCAGUGUCUGCCUAGACCCCUGACCCCUAGCCCUCAACUCCUGGGCCUCCUUUGUGUGAAGAUCUGCUCCUCUGCUCAGCAGUGUGGUUGGGGGCCAAAGGGAAAGCUGGCCCCGGCUGGGCCCCCAGCCCCCACCACUUGACUCCUUGUUGGGCAGCUCCCCUGGCCUCUGGGCCUCUCCCUGCUCCCCUCGGCCCCUCCUCCUGGGCCGCCCCAAUGAAGGAGCCGGAUGCCAUCAAGCUAUUUGUGGGGCAGAUCCCGAGGCAUCUGGAGGAAAAGGACCUGAAGCCCAUCUUCGAGCAGUUUGGUAGGAUCUUCGAGCUGACUGUCAUCAAGGACAAGUACACCGGGCUGCACAAGGGAUGUGCCUUCCUGACAUACUGUGCCCGCGAUUCAGCCCUGAAGGCCCAGAGUGCCCUGCACGAACAGAAGACGCUUCCAGGGAUGAACAGGCCGAUCCAGGUCAAGCCAGCCGACAGCGAGAGCCGAGGAGAAGACCGGAAGCUCUUUGUGGGGAUGCUAGGGAAGCAGCAGACAGAUGAAGAUGUCCGCAAGAUGUUCGAGCCUUUUGGGACCAUAGACGAGUGCACUGUGCUCCGGGGACCAGAUGGCACCAGCAAAGGCUGUGCCUUCGUGAAGUUCCAGACCCACGCCGAGGCCCAGGCAGCCAUCAAUACCCUUCACAGUAGCCGAACACUGCCGGGUGCCUCAUCUAGCCUGGUGGUGAAGUUUGCUGACACAGAGAAGGAGCGAGGUCUCCGCCGAAUGCAGCAGGUGGCCACCCAGCUGGGCAUGUUCAGCCCCAUCGCCCUCCAGUUUGGAGCCUACAGUGCUUACACCCAGGCUCUGAUGCAGCAGCAGGCAGCCCUGGUAGCGGCUCACAGUGCCUACCUCAGCCCCAUGGCCACCAUGGCUGCCGUGCAGAUGCAGCACAUGGCCGCCAUCAAUGCCAAUGGCCUCAUCGCCACCCCCAUCACCCCAUCCUCAGGAACCAGCACCCCUCCUGCCAUCGCUGCCACGCCUGUCUCUGCCAUCCCUGCUGCCCUGGGCGUCAAUGGCUACAGCCCGGUGCCCACCCAGCCCACUGGGCAGCCUGCCCCUGAUGCUCUGUAUCCCAAUGGGGUUCACCCCUACCCAGCCCAGAGCCCUGCAGCCCCCGUGGACCCUCUGCAGCAGGCAUAUGCAGGGAUGCAGCACUACACAGCAGCCUACCCAGCAGCCUACAGCCUGGUUGCACCUGCCUUUCCACAGCCUCCAGCCCUGGUUGCCCAACAGCCUCCUCCACCACCCCAACAGCAGCAACAACAGCAGCAGCAACAGCAGCAGCAACGAGAAGGCCCUGAUGGCUGCAACAUCUUCAUCUACCACCUGCCACAGGAGUUCACAGACUCAGAGAUCCUCCAGAUGUUUGUCCCCUUUGGUCACGUCAUUUCAGCCAAAGUCUUUGUUGACCGGGCAACCAAUCAGAGCAAAUGUUUUGGCUUUGUGAGUUUCGACAAUCCAGCCAGUGCACAGGCUGCCAUCCAGGCCAUGAAUGGCUUCCAGAUCGGUAUGAAGCGCCUCAAAGUCCAGCUAAAGCGGCCUAAAGAUGCCAACCGGCCCUACUAAGGGCCCCAGCCCAGGGCCUGUGUCCAUUGUCGGCUGAAGCCCCCAUCCCCGGACCCCUGCUCCGGGCCCCUGUCUGGAGGUAGCAGUGGAAGGGGCGCCUACACCCUCUUCCCAGGACUAGCCCCAGGCCUCUCUGCACAUCUUCCCUGGGCCUUGAUUGGGCUCCAGGGCAAAAGCUGCUUCAUGGCCUUCGGGGUAUAGGACAUCGCCCCACCUCACCACCCGCCUCUCUGAAGGGCCGUGGCUUUGUUUCCCUGGCUCCUCGGGCCUGUUUCCUCCCAGGCGCUCUUUUGGCCUUUGUGAGGGAGCAAGGAAUAGGCUUGCGGGUUCCGGGGUUUUUGCCUUCUGCUAGGGCUCCUGUGGUGGGUUUUGUACCCAGUGCCCACUCUCCCCAUGAGCCUGCCCCCACUCCAGCCUCUUUCCCCAAGUAGGGGCUUCUCAGAAGCUGGCUCUCACACCUCCUCCACCCUUCUUUAGAGGUAGGAUAUCCCCUGAACCCUGGGCUCACAGCCCUAAAACUCACUGCCUCCCCCAAGGGCCCCCUCCAAGGAGGGUGUUCAGGGAGCCCUGAGGGCUGCCUCUCUGCCAGUCAGCCACAGAGACCCUCCUCCUUUCAUGAGGAAAAGACCUCCCUGAACCCUUAAAAAUGUUUACAGUCUCUGCUGGCCCCCUCCAUGUAAAUACCACGACCACCCGUGCGUUAUCCAGCCCACCUGGCCCGGCCUGGCCUGGACGCUGCCAUCCCUCUUUCUGGGAGUUUAGACAAUGUUACCCUUGGACUUCUUUCUCACUCUCUUGAUUUCUCCCUUUGGUUUGGGGGGUGGGGUGUGAUUGGGUAUUGGGGAAAAGGGUGUGGGGAGGGACAGAUGGGUUUAUUACCUGAUCAUUUUCUUUAGGAAAAGGUUUUAGGGAAAGGAAAGUGGGUAGGGGUGGGAGGGGGAAGGGGAGGCUGGGGAGUCAGUUUCAGACAGUUCUCUAUGCUUAACUUAUUUAUUUAUUGCAUUUUACUUUUAAAGAGUUUGUCUUUUCUGUCUAAAUAAAGUUUAAAAGCAUCAAAUAAAGUCUUGAAAGGCUGA